CCUUGGGGAUGGAAAACCUGUAUGCAAAACCAAGAGGAAAGGAUUAAGUUUUUGCUGCUCUGCUACCACAAAUCCCCUGAACUAUGGUGUUCAGCUGGUGCUACAGUCCAGCAGAGUCCCGUGGGAGGCUGGCUGUGGCUGUACCACUUCCAGACCUGAAUUAACCUCCUGUCCUGUCAUUGCACAGGGCAGUAUGGCUGUAUCAGCGCAGACUGGCAAUAUGUCAGGUAUUUCUAAACCACACAUUAAGGCAUUAUUUAGAUGUGCCCAGGGGAGACUUAAGGCAAAGCAGACCUGCGUGCUCUGCGUCGGCUGGGACAAGUGACCUGGCAUUUAAAAGUCUGUGCUAAUGGUGGCUUUACGGGGUUUACACAGGGCUGGUUGCAUCAGAAGUUUUAGUUUGGGCUAGAUGUGUGACUGGGACUCUGCACCUAGGAGAGAGAUUUUAAUUCCGAUUGUAAUUGCUGAUCAGAAAUGUCCUUUUGUUUUUAUUGGUUCCUUCAUGCUUUUUUUUUUUUUUGUAAGUGCUGAUCAAACAAAAGCUUAUGUACAGGGCAAGAGGGCUGGGGAGGGAAAAGCUGUACAGACAUGGAAACCUUUAUGAAUGGUGUACAAGACAGCUAUUUCAAAAGAGAGAGGAUUUUGCACUCAUUUCUUCACGAAACUUCUAACAGCUUCAGAUUUCAUGUCUUUUUUAGGUCUGAAUGAGCAUGGUAGCAUUUAACAUUUUUGUGGGCUUUCCUUAAAAUGUAUGAGCAGAUUCACAUUCCAGUGAAACGAAGCAGGCAUAAAUCGAGCCUAACUGGACAACUGUGUCGAGCUCCCUGCUGUUUGAUAUCUUGGGAUCAAGCUGCAAGACGAGCUGGGCUGUACUGGAUAAACUAGCCAACUUUGCUAGACUGAUGACUGCCAGAAGAAAUUACAGGAUAGCUGCACAAACCCAACUAAUCAAUAUAGGCUCAACCGUAUGACAGGUAAAGAGCACUGUGAGAGCUGUUCUAGGUAAAUAUGAUAAACUCUUCAAAUUAGUCUGCAGUCAGAUUGGUGCAAGGGUAGAUACAGAAACAUAUUUUCAUUGCCAUCUGCAUCUCAAGGCCUUUUUUGAUGUAAAUACUGUUAAGUACAGUUGAAGUUAAUGUAAUUGUGGUUGUUUAUAUCAGAAAAGAACUUCUGCUGGCUAUCACUCAUUUAAAAAGUAGGCUUCUCAAAGAAAAAAUCGUGUUUCUCUAGCAGAAAUUAAAGAUUUUUUCAUACCAAUUGC